CACCGCAUUUUUUCGCUUUUGUAGCACUUGCCAUGACGGGGAGCGACACCUAUGAGCCGCAGUUGGCGGAGGGUGGCGCCAUCUAUGAGAAAAGGUUUAGCGUAGGUAUUGGGGGAGCGCCUGGAACAAAACGAAUUCCGGUAGUUCGCCAUUUGUGGACCCCAGGAGCCAGCCCGCCGAAAAUCCGGCGUCGGUCCGCUUAUGGGUAUGGGUGGGAUCAUUCCCAAGCAAGAUCUGCAACAAGCCAGACGUGUCAGCAAGGCGCUAAGCAGCAAAACCACGGGGAAAAAACCAACAAUAUUCGAAGAUCCCGCCGGCAGUUGUGACAAUUAAUUUUGGGGACGCUCAAAGGCUCCCAAUUGUCCACCGGCGUCAGUAAACCGAGUGUAGAGGUGGAAGUGGUGGCUCGAGGAAAACCCAGGGUUUUAGCAGGCCGAGCAAAAGUCCGAGUGGACUAUUCCGUGUCCCCUAUUAAAGAACUCCAGGUGGCUCAACUAAGGAAGUCCAACCAAAGGCGGACGGAGGAGCACCGAGGAAGGAGAAGAAAUCCCGGCCUAAAAUAGGCUAACCGCAGCAAGUUCGCUUCGAACCGAAGCUAGGUUCGAGCGAACGGAGGAGCGCAGAGGAGGCGCUAACCGCAGUGUAGCGCGAGAUUCAAGUACGGGAGGGAGGAAAACCUCGGAGGAGUCCCCCUGAAAAAGGUCCAGUUUCGGAUCCGGCCGUAGUGUCCCUGAAAGUGAUUUUGAGGAGCCAAUUUAGUGAUUCAGUCAAACCAAAGUGAAAUGCAUAAAAUUUAGGCAAGAAAAAAAAAAAAAAAAUCGGAAGAGAACCGAAGAAAAAAAAAUGUAAGGAAGCCAAGAAAAAUUAACGUAACGUCCCUAAUGGCCUGAUCGGGAAACAAGGCUCGUCAGAAGAAAGUUAUAGUCACUACCAAUUGUGUUUGUUGUCGUGGUUUUAUUUAUUUGUGCGCCCCAUUGGGGAAAUUUUUGUAUAGUCUAAAACCUUUGUUUCAGCGACCCCUCGAAAGCGCUUUCGUCGUGGGAUGCAUCAAGGAAUGUCCAGUGAGUAAAACCUGCCAAUUUGUUUGUGACAAUUUUGUUUUGAUUUUGAUCCUUGGGGUCCCGGCAAAUUUGGACUCUAAGAGUCGCCAGUUAUCUAAGGGCGUUUGGUUCCUUUAAAUUUUUUUUGGGUUUAAAAGAGAAAACAAAAAAAAAAAAAAAUAAUACUUAAUGCACAUUCUUUUGCUUUGAUUUGUGAUUCUAAUUCCUAAUUUUAUUAAAUUCAUUAAAUUUUAACUAGUCCUAUUUGUAAUGCCAAUGCUAAGAUUUUAUGUACGCCUGGAUAUUUAUAUCUCUUAUUUAUUUAUUUAAAUUGUAUUAGCUUAAGUUUUUUUGCAUUUGCCAUGAUUCAAUUUUAUAUUUAUGUUCUUUAGUAAUAAUAAAUAUUUUAUAAUGUUUUAAACCCCGUAUUAUGCUGCAGCUAGCCGAUAUGAAGUAGUAGGGGUACCCAUGAAAAGGGGUCGCUCGCAGGAUGCGGGAAGCGAGCGAUCAUAGGUAGGGUGGGCACGCGAGAGUCGCCCCAUGACACCUGGGUGACUCGUAAGUAAGGCGCAGGAAGGGAACCCCCCCCCCCCAUCUCUUAUCAUCCGAGGAUAUCGGGACUCUUUCCGGAGAGUAGAUAUUUCGUCGCGAGCACGCAUUUAAAGUUUGAUCCCUACCCGGAGAGGCACCCUUGGGAACCGGCAAAUAACACCCCCCUUGCCGACGAGCCGAAGCCGGAUAUUCCAGCGUGCGCUGGUUCCCAGGUUUUACCACCCGCCUCCGCCCAUAGAUGAUUUUAGGAGUUCGUUACAAUUAUAAUCAUUUAUAGUUAUUAGGAAUCAUAAUUUUUGGCGCCCAACUUUAAGGCCACAUUUUUGGUGUGACCCAAGCUCCCGAAAUCCUCAAACAAUAGUAAGGAUCAGGAACCAGGUGGUGGGCUAUACAACCAAACAUAGCCACGGUUGCCACCGGUUGCUAUCAAACAUGAGUAUCUUGCCUACAGUAAUGGUAAAACGCAUAGGAACACAGAGCAUGGAAAUAUUCUGUUCUCUGUCCACGUUAGACCUUACUAAAGGCAGAGAAAAUAAUCUUAAUCCUAAUUUAAAAAAAUUCCAUAUAAAUAUCCGCACCUGCUUAAUCAAACGCUUAGGAAAUGCAAGCGUAUUUUGUCCUUGGACGAAACGCUUGACCACGGGUGAUUAGGUCAGAUGUGGGUAUUUUUGUCAUCAAAAGAAAAAAUAUAUAUAAAUGAAAUAUAUUUAAAAGCAGGUUCGCGACAUUCGAAGGGUAUGCAGCGUCGGUCAUCUUUUUUAUAAAGAUUGCUGCAGACCACGAUGGUCAUCAUAGCGAACAUGCUUAGCUGCAAACGUAGAGAGGUGUUAAACGCAGGAAUACAGGAAGAGGGGGAUUAUGCUAAUGAGGCAAUUAGUGCAAUUCCCUUACUUCGUCUGUCCGCGGUUUGCACUAACUGUCUUAUGGUCGCAGACUUGCGAUAAGCAGCCUUGCACAAAAUUUUUUUUCGUUUUUUUCAUAUUCCCUAUUCCUCAAGCCUAAUCGCGCAAAUUUGGGUUCUUAUUGCUAUAAUCGAGCUAUGCUUGCUGGCAUUAUUUUUAUGAUAUUGUGAAAUUUUAUAUCGGUAAAUUUUAUUUGUUUGUUUUUUUUUGCUUUUUAAUGAAUGUUUGAUGUUAUCUAAAAUUAUAUAAAUUUUGUUUUACAUUUUGUAUGAGACUUAUAAUCUGCAUUUAUUUAAUACUUUUACUUUAAUUAUAUUUUAAUAUUUUAAUUAUUUAAAAUCUGCUAUUCAUUGCUCUGUACAAGUAAAAGAGUUGUAGCCAGACAAGGGGAGCGCAACAGCAAGUGCAGGGUAGGAGAGAAAGGGUUCAUUGACCCCAAAUAGAUAAGAAUUGCAGGCAAGGUACAAUUCUAGGUGUGAAAGAGAGAAACAAGAAUUACAUAAUUUGGAGGUCGUUGACUUCUGGGAUGUGAUAAUCAUUCACAGCUGUUUUAUUUACUGAGCCAAUUCAUUUUAAUAUUUAUAUUUAUUAGUUUAGGAACUUAAUUAUUAUUAUUUAUUUAUUUAUUUAUAUAUUUAUUUAUUUAUUUGAUUGUUUAUUUGUCGAUUCAUCUAAUUUGGUUUAUUGAGUGGUUAGAAUUAUAUGGUGGUUCGUUUAAUUAGGUUUUUUUGGUGAAAGUAGUCAGAAAUUAAAUUCAACAAGUUAGUGGGUUAACAUGGACUCGUCAAUCUUGGAAGCCGAGGGGCCUAAUUCUUCCAAAUGUGUGCUAUGUGACAGGACAUUGUCAAGCGCGCCUUUAGCCAAGGCUAGUUGUGGACAUGAGUUUCAUAAGACUUGUCUCCAGGCUCAUGCUAAAUCCAAGGGUUCGUGUCCAAAGUGCAAGACCGCCAAAGUUCCUAUGUCGUCGCAACCCCAAGCCACCCAACCGAUAGCUCCUGAGCCUGCAGUUAAUAUGGCUCAAACCAUAGAGGCGGUUGUCUCCCAGCAGUUGCGAGGGUUGCAAAAUGAGUUGCUAACACAGUUAGCCGACCAAAUGCGGCAACUGAUUGAGGUCAAUGUAGCAGCGCACCUUCAGCCAAACCGAAACAGCGAGUUUGCCCAAAACCCAGACCCCCGAUCCGUGUCCUUCCGCCAACCAGAUGAAGGGCCAUCAAUGUCGCGACCAAUGUCAGCGUUCUCGAACUCAGAUCUAGCGAACCGUCCGGAUAAGGUGGGACAUAUUAUAACCAGUUGGAAGCUGCGAUUCAAUGGAUGCCCAGAAGGGUUAUCUAUUGAUAACUUUCUAUAUCGCGUAGAAGCCUUAACCCACCAAACUUUGGAGGGAAAUUUUUCGGUGCUCUGCAGCAACGCGAGCUUAUUGUUCGAUGGGAAAGCUCGAGAGUUCUACUGGAGGUUCCACAGAACGGCAGACCAUCUGAGAUGGGAUGAACUGACAAAAGCUCUACGAAAACAAUUUCGAGAUACCCGGACAGAUGUAGAUCUGCGAGAAGCAAUCCGGGGUCGAAAACAAAAGGAAAGGGAGAAUUUUGAUUCCUUCUACGACGGGGUAGUCCAGCUGACGGAUUGUUUAGAGACCCCUAUGACUGAAAAGGAGCUCAUAGAAAUCCUCAGAAGGAAUUUGCGUCCCGAAAUAAGACACGAACUUCUCAAUUUAAGCAUCGACUCCGUACAGCGUCUUAGGGAUGUGUGUAGGCGCAGGGAAAGCUUCUUAGAAGACGUUAAGCGGAGUUAUGGAUACCAGAGACCAGCUCCGUUUCGCAAGCAAGUAGCAGAAUUAGUCGAGGAUAUGGAACCCGAUGAUGCUACUGAGUUUUCGGCUGCAGAAAUAAUUGAUGAGAUAGAUGCACUAGCAUUAGUUUGUUGGAACUGCAGGAAGGAAGGGCACCGCUACCAUGACUGCGAGGCAAAGAGAAAGAUUUUCUGCUAUGGGUGUGGCACCCCAAAUACAUAUAAACCAUCAUGCAGUAAAUGUCAAAAAAACGGGAAGGUGAACACACGACCAAACCAGCAGUCGUGUGUUCCACGUCGAAAUUUCGAAAAUCAGGAGAAGCAUUAAAUUGUUUGGCCAAUUUGUCCGAGUCCGUGAUGUCACCAAUGGCCAAACUGGCCCAGUCCGAUGCCUCCAUUGUGUCCGAUCCGGUCGAAUCAAAUUCCCAAAGUACUAUUUUCUGGCCGCAGCGGGUCAGGAAUAAUACCCUUCCGGAAAUUUCACCCCCUAGAGUGGUUAAAAAGACCCCAUCCCGAAGUGCCAAGCGUUUAAAAGAUUUCUGGAAGACAGUCAAAACCAUAAAUGCCAUUAGGCACAAAUGUUCGGAUAGACGGCCGUAUGCAGAGGUUCGCGUGUUAGACCAAACGGUUUUAGGACUACUGGACACAGGAGCGUCAGUCAGUGUCUUAGGUGGGAAGUUGGCUGAGCACGUUAUAAGAAAACGUAUACCCUUUAAGCGUAGUUUCGGGCCGAUCACUACAGCAGAUGGUCACAAGCAGGAUGUUAUAGGGCGGCUACGCAGUCCAGUAAUGUACGAAAACAAAACAAAAGAAUUAGAGUUCUUUAUAAUUCCUGCGCUUAGCCAAGACCUGUACCUGGGCAUAGAUUUCUGGUCCGCAUUUGACCUUCUGCCACCAAGUAUGGAAAUAGCAGAAUUAGAAUCAGAUUCGCAUAUCCUAGACGAGACUCAGAAGUUGGCCCUAGGAAAAGUAGUAAGAGAAUUUCCCUCGUUUGCCAUUUCUGGAUUGGGGAAGACGAGCCUAAUAGCGCAUAGUAUCGACGUAGGAGACGCAAAACCAAUAAAGCAGAGGCAUUUCCCAGUCUCUCCAGCUGUGGAAAAGCUUUUGUAUGCAGAGGUCGAGCGUAUGCUCAAACUAGGAGUAAUAGAGGAGUCAGACAGUGCUUGGUCAUCUCCAGUGGUCUUAGUGCAAAAACCCGGCAAGGUUAGGUUGUGCCUAGACAGUAGAAAAGUCAACGAAGUAACGAAAAAUGAUGCUUAUCCAUUGCCGCAAAUUGACGGUAUCUUAAGCAGACUUCCGAAGGCGAAUUUUAUAACCAGCUUAGACCUAAAAGAUGCCUAUUGGCAAAUACCCCUAGAUCCAGCAUCGCGGGAUAAAACCGCAUUUACUAUCCCUGGCAAGCCACUUUACCAGUAUAAAGUGAUGCCAUUUGGACUGUCAAAUGCACCGCAAACCAUGACCAGGCUCAUGGACAAAGUAGUGCCUCCAGAACUAAGGAACGAGGUGUUCGUCUAUCUGGAUGAUUUACUGAUUGUCUCCGGCUCUUUUGAUAGUCAUUUGAAGGUCCUGAGUGCGAUAGCAGGUCGGAUGAAAAUGGCGGGAUUAACUCUAAACGUGGAGAAAAGUAGGUUUUGCAUGCGCAGUGUGAAGUAUUUGGGGCACAUUAUAGGUGAAGGGGUGGUGCGAACCGAUCCGGAAAAGGUGUCGGCAAUGGUGGAUUUUCCCUUGCCGAAGACGUUAAAGGCUUUACGACGGUUCUUAGGGAUGGCUAAUUGGUAUCGGAAAUUUAUUAGUAAUUUCGCUUCAGUAGCCGCGCCCUUGACAGAUCUGUUAAAACCAAAGCAAAGGUUCGCGAUGACCCCAGACGGACAGCUAGCGUUUGAGAAACUAAAAAAAUUGUUAAGCUCGGCUCCGGUUUUGUGUAGCCCCGAUUUCAGCAAGGCUUUCUCAAUCCACUGCGAUGCCAGUAGUACUGGCGUGGGAGGAGUUUUAGUUCAGAAGUCGGAUGAAGGGGAUGAAUGUCCGAUAGCCUUCGUUUCGAAGAAACUUAACAAAGCGCAGAGAAAUUAUACGGUAACUGAGCAGGAGUGUUUGGCGGCUAUUAUUUGUAUAAACCGAUUCCGCCCGUAUAUUGAAGGUCAUCAAUUCCAGGUGAUCACCGAUCAUGCCUCGCUGAAAUGGCUAAUGGGUCAAAAGGAUUUACACUCCCGAUUAGGACGAUGGGCCAUUUCGCUGCAGCGUUUUAAAUUUCAUUUCGACCACCGUAAGGGCAACCUUAAUGUCGUUCCGGAUGCGUUGUCACGAGUGCAUGAAGAAGAAGUUGCUGCUUUAGAUGCAAAGCAGGGUCUUCUGAUAGAUGUAGAGUCACCGCAUUUUCGAGAUCCUGAGUAUUUAAAAUUGAUGGAGGGCAUCGCAGCUAAUGCAGAGAAUUUGCCAGACCUAAAAAUUUCGGAUGGGUUGCUCUUUAAAAGAACCGAGCAUAUAACAGGCGAGCCAAUUCAUGACAGUUUCUGUUGGAAGCUUUGGGUGCCUUCACAACUUGUACCGGAGAUUUUGAAAAAGGCCCAUGAUGACCCGUUGGCGUCGCAUGGAGGUAUCCAUAAAACUCUGGAGCGGGUUCGGCGCUAUUACUUUUGGCCGGGGCUGGUAAAAGAUAUCAAGGAAUACGUGCAGGCCUGUGAGCUGUGCAAAACGACCAAAGCACCAAACCAUACCUUGCGACCCCCAAUGGGAGUUGCGCCCGAAUCACAACGAGCAUUCCAAAAGCUUUAUAUGGACUUCUUAGGGCCCUAUCCUCGAUCCCGAAGCGGUAACGUAGGGAUCUUCAUUGUUCUCGACCAUUAUAGCAAGUUCGUCUUUCUAAAAGCGGUAAAGAAGCUAACGGCUGACACCGUCGUUAAGUACCUACAGCAGGAAUUAUUCCAUACCUUUGGAGUUCCUGAAAAUGUAAUAUCGGAUAACGGUUCACAAUUUCGAGCAGAGCUGUUCCAGAAAUUGUUGCGUGAUAACAAAAUUUCGCACACCCUCACAGCCGUGCACUCCCCUCAAGCGAACGCUUCAGAACGAGUCAACCGCUCAGUUAUUGCCGCUAUUAGAUCUUACAUACGGGAGGAUCAGAAGGACUGGGAUGAGCAUCUCAGUAGCAUUUGUUGUGCUCUCAGGUCCGCGGUACACUCAAGUCUAGGUACCACCCCGUAUUAUAUGGUCUUUGGCCAACAUUUUAUGACCUCGGGGGCGACAUACAAAUUACUUAGGGCUCUGUCCUUAUUGGACGACAAGUCGAUAAGCUUUUCGAGGCAGGACUCCUUGGAGAUUGUGCGGCAGCAGGCCUUGAAAGUAAUGAGGAGACAACAGGAAAAGAAUGAGCGAAAUUAUAAUCUUCGCUCGAGAUCGGUGGCCUACAGCGAAGGACAAGAAGUGUUCCGAAGAAAUUUUAAACAGAGCAAUUUCCAAACGGGCUAUAAUGCUAAGUUGGGACCAGCUUUUGUGAAGGCCCGAGUGAGGAGAAAGAUAGGGAAUGCCUAUUAUGAGUUGGAGGAUCUACAGGGCCGGCUGAUUGGGAAAUAUCAUGCAAAGGACAUUCGACAGUAGGAUGUGCAAGUGCUGUGGUGAUCAUCCUUGGGAAAUUGAAACCCCAAGUCUGAUCUUGAGGGGGGAAUAUUUAUUGUAGCACUUGCCAUGACGGGGAGCGACACCUAUGAGCCGCAGUUGGCGGAGGGUGGCGCCAUCUAUGAGAAAAGGUUUAGCGUAGGUAUUGGGGGAGCGCCUGGAACAAAACGAAUUCCGGUAGUUCGCCAUUUGUGGACCCCAGGAGCCAGCCCGCCGAAAAUCCGGCGUCGGUCCGCUUAUGGGUAUGGGUGGGAUCAUUCCCAAGCAAGAUCUGCAACAAGCCAGACGUGUCAGCAAGGCGCUAAGCAGCAAAACCACGGGGAAAAAACCAACAAUAUUCGAAGAUCCCGCCGGCAGUUGUGACAAUUAAUUUUGGGGACGCUCAAAGGCUCCCAAUUGUCCACCGGCGUCAGUAAACCGAGUGUAGAGGUGGAAGUGGUGGCUCGAGGAAAACCCAGGGGCCGAGCAAAAGUCCGAGUGGACUAUUCCGUGUCCCCUAUUAAAGAACUCCAGGUGGCUCAACUAAGGAAGUCCAACCAAAGGCGGACGGAGGAGCACCGAGGAAGGAGAAGAAAUCCCGGCCUAAAAUAGGCUAACCGCAGCAAGUUCGCUUCGAACCGAAGCUAGGUUCGAGCGAACGGAGGAGCGCAGAGGAGGCGCUAACCGCAGUGUAGCGCGAGAUUCAAGUACGGGAGGGAGGAAAACCUCGGAGGAGUCCCCCUGAAAAAGGUCCAGUUUCGGAUCCGGCCGUAGUGUCCCUGAAAGUGAUUUUGAGGAGCCAAUUUAGUGAUUCAGUCAAACCAAAGUGAAAUGCAUAAAAUUUAGGCAAGAAAAAAAAAAAAAAAAUCGGAAGAGAACCGAAGAAAAAAAAAUGUAAGGAAGCCAAGAAAAAUUAACGUAACGUCCCUAAUGGCCUGAUCGGGAAACAAGGCUCGUCAGAAGAAAGUUAUAGUCACUACCAAUUGUGUUUGUUGUCGUGGUUUUAUUUAUUUGUGCGCCCCAUUGGGGAAAUUUUUGUAUAGUCUAAAACCUUUGUUUCAGCGACCCCUCGAAAGCGCUUU